ensembl:lncRNA
GACAGGGGGCCCUUUCUACCUAGUACCCUCCCCUGGACUGGCAUUACAGCUGAGACAGACAGGGGACCCUUUCUACCUAGUACCCUCCCCUGGACUGGUAUUACAGCCGAGACAGACAGGGGGCCCUUUCUACCUAGUGCCCUCCCCUGGACUGGUAUUACAGCCGAGACAGACAGGGGGCCCUUUCUACCUAGUACCCUCCCCUGGACUGGUAUUACAGCUGAGACAGACAGGGGCCCUUUCUACCUAGUACCCUCCCCUGGACUGGUAUUACAGCCGAGACAGACAGGGGGCCCUUUCUACCUAGUACCCUCCCCUGGACUGGUAUUACAGCUGAGACAGACAGGGGGCCCUUUCUACCUAGUACCCUCCCCUGGACUGGUAUUACAGCCGAGACAGACAGGGGGCCCUUUCUACCUAGUACCCUCCCCUGGACUGGUAUUACAGCUGAGACAGACAGGGGGCCCUUUCUACUCAGGCACAGGGAGGGGCAGCUCAGAACCUUUGUGGUCCUGAGUGAUUCUCUGCCACAACAACUAACAUGGAUUAAAAAAAGGAAAGUGUAACAAUGGUCCUUCUGUGUUAGUGGCUGAAAAUGUCAGGUCUUCCUCUUCUGAUGCUAUGAUGCCCAGUUCUGUCUGUGGGUAGUCUGGUGCUGGGAGGUUACUAGGCUUCACAGACAACAGUCUGGUGCUGUGAGGUUACUAGGCUUCACAGACAACAGUCUGGUGCUGGGAGGUUACUAGGCUUCACAGACAACAGUCUGGUGCUCUGAGGUUACUAGGCUUCACAGACAACAGUCUGGUGCUGGGAGGUUACUAGGCUUCACAGACAACAGUCUGGUGCUGUGAGGUUACUAGGCUUCACAGACAACAGUCUGGGGCUGGGAGGUUACUAGGCUUCACAGACAACAGUCUGGUGCUGGGAGGUUACUAGGCUUCACAGACAACAGUCUGGUGCUCUGAGGUUACUAGGCUUCACAGACAACAGUCUGGUGCUGGGAGGUUACUAGGCUUCACAGACAACAGUCUGGUGCUGGGAGGUUACUGGGCUUCACAGACAAGUCUGGUGCUGGGAGGUUACUAGGCUUCACAGACAACAGUCUGGUGCUGGGAGGUUACUAGGCUUCACAGACAACAGUCAGACUUCCUGUCUGUAAGCGUCCCCAUGUUCAGAAUUAUAUUUGUAUUAUUCUCACUAGUCUUUAUUUACACAUUUAAUAUUUCUUGGGAGCUGCUUGUGUCUGGAUGGUGUGCUAACCUGUUUGACAUUAUAAUAAUGUAAUAUAAUUUAUAUCGUUUGUAUUAUUCUAACAUAAUAUUGUGGGUCUUUUUAUUCUGUAAUUUCUUCCUGGGG